rnacentral:rRNA from 1 species
CGGCGAGUGAAGCGGCAAUAGCUCAAAUUUGAAAUCUGGCCCUUUUAGGGUCCGAGUUGUAAUUUGCAGAGGGCGCUUUGGAGUUGGCUGCAGCCUAAGUUCCUUGGAACAGGUCAUCAUAGAGGGUGAGAAUCCCGUAUGUGGUUGCAUGCCUCCGCCGUGUAAAGCCCCUUCGAUGAGUCGAGUUGUUUGGGAAUGCAGCUCUAAAUGGGAGGUAAAUUUCUUCUAAAGCUAAAUAUUGGCCAGAGACCGAUAGCGCACAAGUAGAGUGAUCGAAAGAUGAAAAGCACUUUGGAAAGAGAGUCAAAAAGCACGUGAAAUUGUUGAAAGGGAAGCGCUUGCAGCCAGACUUGCCCGCAGUUGCUCAUCCGGGGUUCUCCCCGGUGCACUCUUCUGUGGGCAGGCCAGCAUCAGUUCGGGCGGUUGGAGAAAGACCUGUGUCAUGUAGCUGUUCUCGGGCAGUGUUAUAGGGCAGGUGGAAUGCAACCAGCUCGAACUGAGGUCCGCGCAUCUGCUAGGAUGCUGGCGUAAUGGCUGUAAGCGGCCCGUCUUGAAACACGGACCAAGGAGUCUAACAUCUAUGCGAGUGUUUGGGUGUCAAGCCCGAGCGCGUAAUGAAAGUGAACGGAGGUGGGAACCCCUCGGGGUGCACCAUCGACCGAUCCUGAUGUCUUCGGAUGGAUUUGAGUAAGAGCAUAGCUGUUGGGACCCGAAAGAUGGUGAACUAUGCCUGAAUAGGGUGAAGCCAGAGGAAACUCUGGUGGAGGCUCGCAGCGGUUCUGACGUGCAAAUCGAUCGUCAAA